AUACGUAGGGUGCAAGCGUUGUCCGGAAUUAUUGGGCGUAAAGAGCUCGUAGGCGGUCUGUUGCGUCGGCUGUGAAAACCCGGGGCUCAACCCCGGGCCUGCAGCCGAUACGGGCAGACUAGAGUUCGGCAGGGGAGACUGGAAUUCCUGGUGUAGCGGUGAAAUGCGCAGAUAUCAGGAGGAACACCGGUGGCGAAGGCGGGUCUCUGGGCCGAUACUGACGCUGAGGAGCGAAAGCGUGGGGAGCGAACAGGA
rnacentral:rRNA from 1 species